CAAACCAUUGUGAGAAAUAAUGAACGUCGGUGAGAAGGGUGGGACACCGGGACUCUGAAAACCCAAGUUCUGUUCACAGCUCUGCUGUGUGACCUUUGCCAAAUCAAUUCCCCUCUCUCUCUCCUCCUGCUGUGUGUGCCAUUAGACUGCAUUUUGCUAAGUGCUAAGACUCUCUCUGUGUCCAACACCUCGCCCGGUGGGGCCCUGAUCUCGGCUGAAAGGAGGCAGCGAACAGAGAGAGACUGGCAUUUCACUACUGCUUAGACUGCAAGGCUCGAACCCCGAUCAUCCAAGGGAUGAACCCCGACUGUUCCACGGAAAGAACCCCGACGCCGCAACGAGGAUGGUUCUGGACUCCUGGACAGAACCAAUGAAAACUGGAAACGCUGGACCACCGGAACGCUGGAACAGGAUGCGACAAUCACCAGAAAGCAUCCCACCCCACCUGAAAGACGAGACCCCCUUGAUACCAGACGGGCUACCACUGGAGUUUACAACUGGCAACUCCCUACAUCCGGAUUGAGAAACCAUCAACAACAGGACUAAAGACUCUUAUUGUUGUUCUGCUCUCGCCCCCAGAAAGAGGAGUCGUGUACUAUAGGAUUGGCUUCAAGCGUUGUCUUUGGAGUGAGACGUAAAGUGCAAUUGACCUGGGGUAAGUGACCUGCCUUUUGGGAUCAGGACUCAUCUGAAUAUUGCUGUGAUUCUUGGUGUAAGAGCCCAGCUAUCACAGAGCUACGUUCACCUGGGUAGUAAGACAGACCCGUAUACCCAAGGGGAGUAUCUGAGCCUCUGUAUUAAGGCUGUUAAAGGGCCUGAGGAGUUUGCCCUUGGUACAGUGGGUUGGUGAAGUUGAAGUUUAGAGCUCACAACCACUGUGGGGCUUGUGCCCUGGUUUCUAACAGCCUGCCCUGAGGUUGGUACUCAUGCUUUUGUGUCACCAUUGGGAGCGUCACAUGAUGGGUACAUGUGGGCACCUCCCUGAGAACAAGCAAUUCCCUCAGACACUCCAGUUCCCUUGUGUCACGUUAUUGAUUUGAAUUGGGACCAUAUAGAACAUGGUUGCCAUCAAAGUCCUGUAGUGGCACCACAUCUUGUAUA